GCGUAAUGCUGACGCGGAGGACAUUAAAGAGUUAAAAACAACUCCUAAACCCAUGUGAAACCUACCUUUGUUGCCUCGGCAGGUCUGCAACUUACCCUGAGGGUACCUACCCUGUAGGUACCUUACCCGGUAGUUGCGGGCAUAACCUGCCGGUGGUCUACUAAACUCUGUUUACUAUGUCAUUCUGAAUAAUAUAACUAAAUAAGUUAAAACUUUCAACAACGGAUCUCUUGGUUCUGGCAUCGAUGAAGAACGCAGCGAAAUGCGAUAAGUAAUGUGAAUUGCAGAAUUCAGUGAAUCAUCGAAUCUUUGAACGCACAUUGCGCCCAUUAGUAUUCUAGUGGGCAUGCCUGUUCGAGCGUCAUUUCAACCCUUAAGCCCUGUUGCUUAGCGUUGGGAGCCUACAGAUACCCUCUGUAGUUCCUUAAAGUUAGUGGCGGAGUCGGUUUCACACUCUAGACGUAGUAAAUUUUAUCUCGCCUAUAGAUGAGCCGGUCCCUUGCCGUAAAACCCCCUAAUUUCUAAAGGUUGACCUCGGAUCAGGUAGGAAUACCCGCUGAACUUAAGCAUAUCAA
rnacentral:rRNA from 1 species